GAAGAAGUUAAUGAUGGCCAUUGUAUG
rnacentral:sRNA from 1 species